rnacentral:rRNA from 1 species
CGUGAGAUGUUGGGUUAAGUCCCGCAACGAGCGCAACCCCUGUCCCAUGUUGCCAGCAUUAAGUUGGGGACUCAUGGGAGACUGCCGGCGUCAAGCCGGAGGAAGGUGGGGAUGACGUCAAGUCAUCAUGCCCCUUAUGUCCUGGGCUGCACACGUGCUACAAUGGCCGGUACAAUGGGCUGCGAUGCCGCGAGGCGGAGCGAAUCCCAUAAAACCGGCCCCAGUUCGGAUCGAAGGCUGCAACUCGCCUUCG